GAUGAACGCUGGCGGCGUGCCUAAUACAUGCAAGUCGAGCGAAGCGGGGACGGGUGAGUAACACGUGGAUAACCUCCUAUAAGACUGGGAUAACUUCGGGAAACCGGAGCUAAACCGGCUACUUAUAGAUGGAUCCGCGCUGCAUGAGCUAGUUGGUAAGGUAACGGACUACCAAGGCAACGAUGCAUAGCCGACCUGAGAGGGUGAUAGGGCACACAGGAACUGAGACACGGUCCGGACUCCAACGGGAGGCAGGGGUAGGGAAUCGUCGACAGUGGGCGAAAGCCUGACGGGACAACGCCGCGUAGGUGAAAAGGGUCAUCGGAUAGUAGAACUCUGUUAUUAGGAAAGCGGUAGCUAAUCAGAAAGCCACGGCUAACUACGUGCCAGCAGCCGCGGUAAUAC
rnacentral:rRNA from 1 species